GCUGGGCGUGGUGACGCAUUCCUGUAAUCCCAGCUACUCGGGAGGCUGAGGUAGGAGAAUUGCUUGAACCCAGGAGGCAGAGGUUGCAGUGAGCCGAGAUCACGCCACUGCAGUCCAGCCUGGGUGACAGAGCAAGAUUCUGUCUUUU
rnacentral:SRP_RNA from 1 species